rnacentral:rRNA from 1 species
AUUGAACGCUGGCGGCAGGCCUAACACAUGCAAGUCGAGCGAGCGGCGGACGGGUGAGUAAUGUCUGGGAAACUGCCUGAUGGAGGGGGAUUACUACUGGAAACGGUAGCUAAUACCGCAUACCCACAGAUGUGCCCAGCUGGGAUUAGCUAGUUGGUGGGGUAAUGGCUCACCUAGGCGACGAUCCCUAGCUGGUCUGAGAGGAUGACCAGCAAAACUGGAACUGAGAAAGGGUCCAGACUCCUACGGGAGGCAGCAGUGGGAAAUAUUGCACAAGGGGCGAAAGCCUGCUGCAGCAAUGCCGCGUGUGUGAAGAAGGCCUCCGGGUGGUAAAGCACUUUCAGCGAGGAGGCGUUACUCGCAGAAGAAGCACCGGCUAACUCCGUGCCAGCAGCCGCGGUAAUAC